rnacentral:rRNA from 1 species
CGACGUAGUUGAUCAUGCUCAGACACGCUGGCGGCGUGCCUAACACAUGCAAGUCGAACGGAGCUUCUAUGGAAUUUGACUCGGUUGAAAGAGUUUAAGCUUAGUGGCGGACGGGUGAGUAACGCGUGAGCAACCUGCCUUUCAGAGGGGGACAACAGUUGGAAACGACUGCUAAUACCGCAUGACAUACCGGGGUGGCAUCAUUCUGGUAUCAAAGAUUUAUCGCUGAAAGAUGGCCUCGCGUCUGAUUAGCUAGUUGGUGGGGUAACGGCCCACCAAGGCGACGAUCAGUAGCCGGACUGAGAGGUUGACCGGCCACAUUGGGACUGAGAUACGGCCCAGACUCCUACGGGAGGCAGCAGUGGGGAAUAUUGGGCAAUGGGCGCAAGCCUGACCCAGCAACGCCGCGUGAAGGAAGAAGGCCUUCGGGUUGUAAACUUCUUUUACCAGGGACGAACACAAUGACGGUACCUGGAGAAAAAGCAACGGCUAACUACGUG